AGUCGAGCGAUGAACACCUUCGGGUGUGAAUUAGCGGCGAACGGGUGAGGAACACGUGAGAAAUCUGCCUUCACACUGGGAUAACUCCGGGAAACCGGGGCUAAUACCGGAUAUGAAAUCUGCGGGCAUCCGCGGAUUUGGAAAGUUUUUCGGUUGAAGAUGAUCUCGCGGCCUAUCAGCUUGUUGGUGAGGUAAUGGCUCACCAAGGCGACGACGGGUAGCCGGCCUGAGAGGGCGACCGGCCACACUGGGACUGAGACACGGCCCAGACUCCUACGGGAGGCAGCAGUGGGGAAUAUUGGGCAAUGGAGGAAACUCUGACCCAGCGACGCCGCGUGCGGGAUGAAGGCCUUCGGGUUGUAAACCGCUUUCAGCAGGGAAGAAGCGAAAGUGACGGUACCUGCAGAAGAAGCACCGGCUAACUAUGUGCCAGCAGCCGCGGUAAUACAUAGGGUGCAAGCGUUGUCCGGAAUUAUUGGGCGUAAAGAGCUCGUAGGUGGUUCGUCACGUCGGAUGUGAAACUCUGGGGCUUAACCCCAGACCUGCAUUCGAUACGGGCGAGCUUGAGUAUGGUAGGGGAGUCUGGAAUUCCUGGUGUAGCGGUGGAAUGCGCAGAUAUCAGGAGGAACACCAAUGGCGAAGGCAGGACUCUGGGCCAUUACUGACACUGAGGAGCGAAAGCGUGGGGAGCGAACAGGAUUAGAUACCCUGGUAGUCCACGCCGUAAACGGUGGGCACUAGUUGUGGGGACCUUCCACGGUCUCUGCGACGCAGCUAACGCAUUAAGUGCCCCGCCUGGGGAGUACGAUCGCAAGAUUAAAACUCAAA
rnacentral:rRNA from 1 species